GACGAACGCUGGCGGCGUGCUUAACACAUGCAAGUCGAACGGUAAGGCCCUUCGGGGUACACGAGUGGCGAACGGGUGAGUAACACGUGGGUGAUCUGCCCUGCACUUCGGGAUAAGCCUGGGAAACUGGGUCUAAUACCGGAUAGGACUCCGGACUGCAUGGUCUGGGGUGGAAAGCUUUUGCGGCGUGGGAUGGGCCCGCGGCCUAUCAGCUUGUUGGUGGGGUGAUGGCCUAGCAAGGCGACGACGGGUAGCCGGCCUGAGAGGGUGACCGGCCACACUGGGACUGAGAUACGGCCCAGACUCCUACGGGAGGCAGCAGUGGAGAAUAUUGCACAAUGGGCGCAAGCCUGAUGCAGCGACGCCGCGUGAGGGAUGACGGCCUUCGGGUUGUAAACCUCUUUCAGCAUCGACGAAGCGAAAGUGACGGUAGGUGCAGAAGAAGGACCGGCCAACUACGUGCCAGCCGCCGCAGUAA
rnacentral:rRNA from 1 species